GGCGACGGGUGAGUACACGUGGGCAAUCUGCCCUGCACUCUGGGACAAGCCCUGGAAACGGGGUCUAAUACCGGAUAACACUACGGACCUCAUGGUCUGUGGUUGAAAGCUCCGGCGGUGCAGGAUGAGCCCGCGGCCUAUCAGCUUGUUGGUGAGGUAAUGGCUCACCAAGGCGACGACGGGUAGCCGGCCUGAGAGGGCGACCGGCCACACUGGGACUGAGACACGGCCCAGACUCCUACGGGAGGCAGCAGUGGGGAAUAUUGCACAAUGGGCGAAAGCCUGAUGCAGCGACGCCGCGUGAGGGAUGACGGCCUUCGGGUUGUAAACCUCUUUCAGCAGGGAAGAAGCGCAAGUGACGGUACCUGCAGAAGAAGCGCCGGCUAACUACGUGCCAGCAGCCGGGGGUAAUACG
rnacentral:rRNA from 1 species